GGAUGUGAGGGCUAUCCGGCUGCAACAUCUGUCGCCCCUUGAUUGUCAGGGCUGAUGUGGCUGAGCUGACUGACCAGCCAGGUGUCCCCUUACUCCCUCACUGCGCCAUGUGCACCCUCCUGUGGUGAACUGAUAACUGGUGGUCAAUUUGUAACAACAAUUGAACUCAAUCGGUGCGGAGCUGAGGCCCACCUGAGAAUCGUUGCCAACACAAAACGGAGAACUGGAGAGAAAAAAUUAUGUGUUGUUU
ensembl:misc_RNA 7SK 7SK RNA